rnacentral:rRNA from 1 species
AGUGAACGCUGGCGGUAGGCCUAACACAUGCAAGUCGAACGGCAGCACAGUAAGAGCUUGCUCUUAUGGGUGGCGAGUGGCGGACGGGUGAGGAAUACAUCGGAAUCUACUUUUUCGUGGGAGAUAACGUAGGGAAACUUACGCUAAUACCGCAUACGACCUACGGGUGAAAGCAGGGGAUCUUCGGACCUUGCGCGAUUGAAUGAGCCGAUGUCGGAUUAGCUAGUUGGCGGGGUAAAGGCCCACCAAGGCGACGAUCCGUAGCUGGUCUGAGAGGAUGAUCAGCCACACUGGAACUGAGACACGGUCCAGACUCCUACGGGAGGCAGCAGUGGGGAAUAUUGGACAAUGGGCGCAAGCCUGAUCCAGCCAUACCGCGUGGGUGAAGAAGGCCUUCGGGUUGUAAAGCCCUUUUGUUGGGAAAGAAAAGCAGCAGGUUAAUACCCCGCUGUUCUGACGGUACCCAAAGAAUAAGCACCGGCUAACUUCGUG